CCCUUAGAUGUCCGGGGCUGCACGCGCGCUACACUGACUGGCUCAGCGUGUGCCUACCCUACGCCGGCAGGCGCGGGUAACCCGUUGAACCCCAUUCGUGAUGGGGAUCGGGGAUUGCAAUUAUUCCCCAUGAACGAGGAAUUCCCAGUAAGUGCGGGUCAUAAGCUUGCGUUGAUUAAGUCCCUGCCCUUUGUACACACCGCCCGUCGCUACUACCGAUUGAACGGUUUAGUGAGGGCCUCGGAUUGGUCUCGGCCCGCUCUUUACCGGGCGGCGCCGUUGGUCGAGAAGACGCUCGAACUUGAUCGUUUAGAGGAAGUAAAAGUCGUAACA
rnacentral:rRNA from 1 species